UCAUUUUGUUGUUGUUUUUUAUCUCCGGUCUAGACAGGCUAGACUUAGAUUUAGUAUCUUCAUACGGUAUAUGUAUUUUAUACAUCACCUAAUUACAAUUUUAACAACCAAUUAAUAGAUAGAUCUAUAGAUAUAUAGUAAUCCGGUCUUAAUAGAAGAUUUCAUUCAUACAUGCCAUUGUAUGUGUAUUUGUUUGAUAGAACUACACAUAUUUAUAAGAACUGAUCGUUACAAAAUAUAUUGGCAAACAAGGUUAAAAUUUGUCUUCGGAAAAAUCGUCCCGACGUGGUCAGAAAGAGUUAUCCCCCUUGGCCGGCAUAGCGAUCGGUUUUCGAUCAAACAUUUAUCGAUACUGAGAUGGAGAACGUCAACGUGCCUGCUGACCCUGCACAUGACGCAUGGUAUCCAAGUGGGCUGUGUCCUGCCACAUUCAGGAAAUUUGAGGUGCAACCCUUGUAGGAAAUCAGGUUUCACUGUCCAGUUACAAGAAGCCUGGUGUAAAUAGCUUGUUUGGUCCAGUUGCACCAAACAAAGAUGCUGUGUACACCAAGUGUGACUGAUAGUCCUGUGUAAGCAAAAUUAGGCAUAUUGCUGAAUGUUGGGACCGGAUGUUGUGCUCUCUCAACCAGGCAACUACCAUGCUGUAAUGAAACUUGAUGGUAUCAGUUUACACCAACGCUAAACUACAUAUACAGCUCCCAAUACAGUGUGCUUUGAGAAGGGAGAGCAACUAUGCCCUGUACGUUUCUGGAAAGAAGAAGUGUUGAGAAGAAGAGUUCUGUGUUGAAGUCAGCAUUGACAUCCUGAGUAGUGAAAAGAUCAGCAGGGAGUAGCAUCAGUUUGCUACUGUGUGGUGGGACAGUGUUUCUCCCUAUACUCAUGGACAGUACUGUACAUCUAAACAUAUGAUUCAUAUUAUAUAUUGUUUCAUAAUGUGAGGUGUGUUUUUUUCAUUCAAAAUAUCAAUUAUCAUAUAUGGUGAAUUUAGCAUCUUACAAAUAUACUGUGCAUGGAAUUUCUUCACUGUUUUCAGCAUUUUGAGGCAAAACUCUUUUCAUGUGUUACAUUUAUGUUUAUUGUUUCCUCAACAAUAAAGAACUAGCAAAAUGA